GGGGAUGUAUUGCUUUGACGCGAUACGUACAUUAACAUCUGCAGGUCGCCUUUGACUCAGAGGCGUAAAAAAGAGUCAAACAAUAGCUGUCACUAAUAGUCUCAGCAAAGUUGCGAAUGGUUUCAAGGCUUUUGCCUCCGACCUAUUUGUAACUCCACGUUACGCUACUCUCGUAGCAUAAUACGGCAUUCAAUUUGCACUCUCAGUGGUGGGGCAGAUUGGGUGAAAACCUUAGCCACUGUGACAGUGUAUCUGUAGCUUAUCGGGGUACACAUAAGACUUAACGACGAGCAGUGCUGUGAAAGAGUUUGUUUUUUUUGCUCACUCAGCAGCUAUCUAACAAAGAAGCUAUACCUGUAGAUGAUGUUCUUGCACUGUUGCGGACAGGGGGUCAUUCCCCCUCAUCUCCACCA
rnacentral:tmRNA from 1 species